rnacentral:rRNA from 1 species
UGCACGAAUCGGAGUCAACUGAGAUGACUAGUGGCGGACGGGUGAGUAACGCGUGGGUAACCUGCCCUAUACAGGGGAGUAACAGUUAGAAAUGACUGCUAAUACCGGCAUAAGCGCACAGCUCCGCAUGGAGCAGUGUGAAAAGCCGAGACGGUAUAGGGAUGGACCCGCGUCUGAUUAGCCAGUUGGCAGGGUAACGGCCUACCAAAGCGACGAUCAGUAGCCGGCCUGAGAGGGUGAACGGCCACAUUGGGACUGAGACACGGCCCAAACUCCUACGGGAGGCAGCAGUGGGGGAUAUUGCACAAUGGGGGGAAACCCUGAUGCAGCGAACCGCCGCGUGAGCGAUGAAGUAUUUCGGUAUGUUAAAGGCGUACUAUUCAGCGAAGGGAAGAAAAUGACGGUACCUGACUAAGAAGACUCCGGCCUAAAUACGUGCCAGCAGCGGC